CGCUGACUCCCCAGAAGUCCCGGCGGCUCCAGUCUGUGAUGUGGAGUGAGCGAUGGUGUUUGCCUUCCAGGAAAUUAACGACCCCUCUCCACACUCUGACGCCCAGAAGGCAAGCAACCUUCGCACUGCAAAGACGGCUCUGUGCUCCUGUGUCUGUGGAAGGUGCCGGAAGAAAUGUGUGCUCCGCUUUUACUGUUGCUUUUUUAUCUUGAGCUCUCCUUGGUAUCGGUGCUUAGGUGAGGUGCUGGGUAAUGGUUCGCUGAGCACAGUGCUUCACACUGAGCCACUCCACAACGUCCAGCCUAGAGUAAAACUAACUAAAAGCAAGAAUCCCAGUGAACAAGCAGUUUCCUGGCUUUUUCAAUCCCAUGGCCCUAAGAUCUCUGAAACCUGCCGAAGUGGGUUUGUUAUGUGCUUA
rnacentral:lncRNA from 1 species